ACGCACGCUGGCGGCAUGCCUCACACAUGCCAGUCGAACGAGACCUUCGGGUCUAGUGGCGCACGGGUGCGUAACGCGUGGGAACCUGCCCUUAGGUUCGGAAUAACUCAGAGAAAUUUGAGCUAAUACCGGAUAAUGUCUUCGGACCAAAGAUUUAUCGCCUUUGGAUGGGCCCGCGUAGGAUUAGCUUGUUGGUGGGGUAAUGGCCUACCAAGGCGACGAUCCUUAGCUGGUCUGAGAGGAUGAUCAGCCACACUGGGACUGAGACACGGCCCAGACUCCUACGGGAGGCAGCAGUGGGGAAUAUUGGACAAUGGGCGAAAGCCUGAUCCAGCAAUGCCGCGUGAGUGAUGAAGGCCUUAGGGUUGUAAAGCUCUUUUACCAGGGAUGAUAAUGACAGUACCUGGAGAAUAAGCUCCGGCUAACUCCGUG
rnacentral:rRNA from 1 species